AGGCAGAGGUGGUCAGUUAGUUGAACAUACUAAUUUGGGAAAUUAAACCAUUGCAUAGCCUGUGUCACAGAUGCUUGUGGAUCAUAGUCUAACCAUUCCAUCACUGAUUUAAUUUUGGUGUCUUGGUGUAGCUUAACUAACCGGUAUAAUUCUGUUACUAAAUAUUUAACGUGCAUCACAGCAAUGGCCAGUAAUUGUCCAUCAAAGAAAAGAAAGUCAGGACAGCAGCCAAGCAAACUUUCUGUCCGGUUAUUUCUGCUUGAUCCAGGAAAAGAAGUCAUUAAAGUUACGAAAGAAAUAUGUUCGAAGAAAGCGAUAAACCUGUUAAAGCAGAAAAGAUGUGGGCCACCACCAGCAGGUAAUUGAUAGUUGAAAAAAAUUAACCCUUCCCCGAUAUCAGAAAGGUUCAGCUUUCGACUUCCACUACUGCUACCAUCAACCAAUCA